rnacentral:rRNA from 1 species
GUCAGCUAAGACCGCAUAGGUGUAGAGAUCGCAUGAACUCUAUAUGAAAAGUGCUACGGGACUGGUAGAUGAUGGACUUAUGGCGCAUUAGCUGGUUGGUAGGGUAACGGCCUACCAAGGCGACGAUGCGUAGCCGACCUGAGAGGGUGACCGGCCACACUGGGACUGAGACUCGGCCCAGACUCCUACGGGAGGCAGUAGUAGGGAAUUUUCGGCAAUGGGGGAAACCCUGACCGAGCAACGCCGCGUGAAGGAAGAAGUAGUUCGUUAUGUAAACUUCUGUCAUAGAGGAAGAACGGUGGAUAUAGGGAAUGAUAUCCAAGUGACGGUACUCUAUAAGAAAGCCACGGCUAACUACGUGCCAGCAGCCGCGGUAAUACGUAGGUGGCGAGCGUUAUCCGGAAUUAUUGGGCGUAAAGAGGGAGCAGGCGGCACUAAGGGUCUGUGGUGAAAGAUCGAAGCUUAACUUCGGUAAGCCAUGGAAACCGUAGAGCUAGAGUGUGUGAGAGGAUCGUGGAAUUCCAUGUGUAGCGGUGAAAUGCGUAGAUAUAUGGAGGAACACCAGUGGCGAAGGCGACGAUCUGGCGCAUAACUGACGCUCAGUCCCGAAAGCGUGGGGAGCAAAUAGGAUUAGAUACCCUAGUAGUCCACGCCGUAAACGAUGAGUACUAAGUGUUGGGAGUCAAAUCUCAGUGCUGCAGUUAACGCAAUAAGUACUCCGCCUGAGUAGUACGUUCGCAAGAAUGAAACUCAAAGGAAUUGACGGGGGCCCGCACAAGCGGUGGAGCAUGUGGUUUAAUUCGAAGCAACGCGAAGAACCUUACCAGGUCUUGACAUCGAUCUAAAGGCUCCAGAGAUGGAGAGAUAGCUAUAGAGAAGACAGGUGGUGCAUGGUUGUCGUCAGCUCGUGUCGUGAGAUGUUGGGUUAAGUCCCGCAACGAGCGCAACCCCUGUUGCCAGUUGCCAGCAUUAAGUUGGGGACUCUGGCGAGACUGCCGGUGACAAGCCGGAAGGAAGGCGGGGAUGACGUCAAAUCAUCAUGCCCCUUAUGACCUGGGCUACACACGUGCUACAAUGGACAGAGCAGAGGGAAGCGAAGCCGCGAGGUGGAGCGAAACCCAUAAAACUGUUCUCAGUUCGGACUGCAGUCUGCAACUCGACUGCACGAAGAUGGAAUCGCUAGUAAUCGCGAAUCAGCAUGUCGCGGUGAAUACGUUCUCGGGCCUUGUACACACCGCCCGUCACACCAUGAGAGUCGGUAACACCCGAAGCCGGUGGCCUAACCGCAAGGAAGGAGCUGUCUAAGGUGGGACUGAUGAUUGGGGUGAAGUCGAAACAAGGUA